UGAGAGUCACUAAUCCUUGAGCUGACAAUUCACAGAGUGACUGCCCGUAAGGCUGUCUACUAAAGACGCACUUUUAAGAGAAUUUAAAACUCCCUUUAAAGUAUUUCUUUUGUUCAUUCUAUUAUUUUAUUAACACACUUCCCCAAAACCUUCAGCCACAUAUACCAAGUCAUGAAGAAAUUAUACAGGCCAUAUGUCCAGUGACUCUCAAAGUAUUUUUCUGUUCCACUUUGAUUAUGUUUCCAGUUUUAAGAGUCUACUAUAGACAUUCUCUCAAAGGGGUUUCACUUGGAUUAUAAGCAUAACUGUCCUAUGUACAAGGCAUGCUAACUAUAAAUAUCUAACAUACUUUGCUCUAGGGAACAAAUUUGUGUUUUUAAAACAAGGGAAAUCAAACAAGAAUUACUGAUUUUUAAUUGUCUGUGACCUAGUAAGGAUAACUACCAUGCUUCUCACUGGGUAUCAUCCUUACUGAUUGAAAUACUGGUAAUUUCCCUGUAGACAAAAGCAGAUCUUAUCAAAUGACGACUGAGUCCUGAAGAGGUCAUAAAUUUAUAAUGGUAUGCAGUGACUUGAUACUGUAUGGGGUGGUGGGAAGGAAUACAUAUGAUGUCAAUGAAUUUCAAUUUGCUUCUCAGGCGUUUAACAUGUUCUGAUUUCAUCAACAACAGACAGAUGAAACAGGAAAGUGACAUGCAGGCUCCUACAUGACAACACAAAGCUCUUGAAAGAAAAGAAAGUUUCCAAAUAAGUCACAUCUCGUCAGUGCCACAGCAUCAGGAAUACAUCACUAACUCUCAAUCCACAGAAGUGGAUACUGGUUUGCAUUUCAGGUGCAAUAACAUCUCAUUCACAGCUCAUUUACAGUCCUGUAGUUCACGUGGCCACUGCUACCAGAGUCAUUCGUGGUAACCACACUAUUCCCUUUUCAAACAUUUAGGGAGGAGAACUUCCACUGGAAGGUACUCAGAUGUCUACAGCAUGGUUUGUGGUUCUUUUCUUAGUCGAGUCAUCACUUGGAAUAGGAAAGUGGUAUAUCCCAACAGUUGGAGUGUGUCCUUAUGCAUUAAAUAGGAUUUUCCUAGGAAAUCAAUUUAUUUAUAUAUGAUGGUUUAAAUUGCAGUCUAUUUAUGACACAUAUUUCUACAAUUAUCAACUCCUAAGGAAAUAGAAGAGAAGGAAAAUAAUUCAAAUGAGGAAAACUAAGACUAAUAAAACCCAGUUGACAAAAGCUUUGAGUCUCAGAUGGCCUCUCUGAAAAGCAGGUGAAAGCAGCUAUUUGCAGACUGAAGAAUGCGACCAAGUAAAACUAAUAUAUUCUCAAAUAAAGGACAGAACUAACUCUAAACAGGAUUUCUCAGGCUACUUCUCCUGGUGCUCCAAACACUCCUCCUUGCAGUUCCCACCACGACAGGAGUCUGAAUUCCUUGGGGUAGGCACAACUGCAGUACCGAUGGCUUGCAGAGCUUUGAUUACAGAAGCGAGAACACCUCAGAGCUUGGGUCAUAUUCUUAAUACAAACUGUGGGUUCAUCAUCUGCCAGUUCACCUGAUAGACAAAAGCAAAUUCCUUUCUACGUUACUCUAGUUUCUCAUUAUCCAAAUAAAUUAUUUAUAAAAAGGAGCUUUUCCCAAUUCUUAAUUCUAACUAAAUCUACAUUACACUGACUUAAAUUCACACUUAUUUCUAGUUUCACUAAAUUUACUAAAGUACAAAUAAGCAGAAUGCUGCCUUCCUUUAGAGGAUAAAACAAACAUUCAAUAAUAAAUAAUUGGUUUUGGAGGUAAAAGCAAGACACUGCAGUGGCUCACUUAUACCACCUGUUUUCUCUUUUGCAGAAGGGAAAGAAGGAAAAUGCAAUUAUCUGAAAUCUCAUGCAAUCUGAUCAGUUCCAUUCAAAUAUGUUCACUAAUACAAGCAUUUCUGUCACAGGAGGGAAAAUGGCUAAGUACCAGCAAAAAGUGAGAUUUCACAUGAUUUGUCAACGUCAGGUUGAUUGUGUCACUCUAACCUUUAGUCAGGAAUCCAAAGAAUACAUCUAUUCAAAAUGCAUCCUUUUGCCGUACUGAGAACAAAACAUGGAUAAUUUAACUAAUCCCAGACUCCAAAAAAAAAAAAAGAUUACGUUAGCUGAUCUACCACAUCUCUUCUACUCGACAAGCUAAGCAGAAAAAUAUGUUGAACUACAGCAAAAUAAAGUCCUAGCAGCAAAUGCGGACUUGGAGGACUUAGCAGGCACCACAGGCUGAAGUCAGAUCUAGAAAGUCUAUAAUAACUGAAGGUAUAAGGUAGACUACAUCAAAGCCCCUUUGGACAA
ensembl:lncRNA